rnacentral:rRNA from 1 species
UACGUAGGUGGCAAGCGUUGUCCGGAUUUACUGGGCGUAAAGCGUGCGCAGGCGGCCAUGCAAGACAGAUGUGAAAUCCCCGGGCUCAACCUGGGAACUGCAUUUGUGACUGCAUGGCUCGAGUACGGCAGAGGGGGAUGGAAUUCCGCGUGUAGCAGUGAAAUGCGUAGAUAUGCGGAGGAACACCGAUGGCGAAGGCAAUCCCCUGGGCCUGUACUGACGCUCAUGCACGAAAGCGUGGGGAGCAAACAGG